CAGCCGCCGCGGGAACACGAAGGGUGCAAGCGUUAAUCGGAAUUACUGGGCGUAAAGCGUGCGUAGGCGGUUUGUUAAGUCUGUUGUGAAAUCCCCGGGCUCAACCUGGGAAUGGCAAUGGAUACUGGCAAGCUAGAGUGUGUCAGAGGAUGGUGGAAUUCCCGGUGUAGCGGUGAAAUGCGUAGAGAUCGGGAGGAACAUCAGUGGUGAAGGCGGCCAUCUGGGACAACACUGACGCUGAGGCACGAAAGCGUGGGGAGCAAACAGGAUUAGAUACCCCCGUAGUCCCUGUCUCUUAUAC
rnacentral:rRNA from 1 species